rnacentral:misc_RNA from 1 species
UUUCCGUAGGUGAACCUGUGGAAGGAUCAUUAAAAAAUUGGACUCCAUUGGUGAGUUCAUUAAUAAUCCCUACCCUUUGUGAAUUUGUUUGUUUGAAUAAUUUUUUUUCCAAAAAAAAUUAUUGAAUGUCUUUCCUUGUUUUGGUGGAGCUUGUAAAGUGAAACCAGGCAGGGGAAUGGCAAACAAUAAUUAUUUUUGAAAAAGACCUUUUUUUAAAAUUAAACUUUUGUAUUCAUUUGUCUAAAAUUAAUUUUUAUAAUAUAAAAACAACUUUUGACAAUGGAUCUCUUGGUUCUCGCAACGAUGAAGAACGCAGCAAAAUGCGAUAAGUAGUGUGAAUUGCAGAAUACGUGAAUCAUCGAAUCUUCGAACGCAUAUUGCACUUUUUUAGUUUACUAAAAAAGUAUGUCUGUUUGAGUAUCAGUAAAAUAUUCUCAUAAAAAACAUUGUUUUUUUUAUGGUUAUGAGUGUUUUACAACGAUAACAAGUUGUUUCACUUUAAAUUCUUUGUUAUCAAAAAAAUCAUCAAAAGCUAAUUUUAAAGAUUUUUUAAAAUUGGAUAAAAUUUUCCCGUAAAAAGGAAUAACCUAAACAAUUUUAAAAAAUUAAAAUUGGUUUGAUUUUUUUUGAAACCCAAAGGAAAAAAAAAACGAAAUUAACUUGAUCUCAAAUCAGAUAAGAGUACCCGCUGAACUUAAGCAUAUCAAUAAGCGGAGGAAAAGAAACUAACUAGGAUUCCCUCAGUAACGGCGAGUGAAGCGGGAAGAGCUCAAAUUUGAAAUCUUCAAGGUUUUACCUUGACGAAUUGUAGUUUAAAGAAGUGUUUUCUGUUGGAGUUUUGGUAAAAGUUCUUUGGAAAAGGACAUCAUAGAGGGUGAGAAUCCCGUAUUUGACCAUUAUCUCCAGCUUUGUGAUACACUUUCAAAGAGUCGGAUUGUUUGGGAAUGCAGUCCAAAAUGGGUGGUAAAUUUCAUCUAAAGCUAAAUACUGGCGAGAGACCGAUAGCGAACAAGUACCGUGAGGGAAAGAUGAAAAGAACUUUGAAAAGAGAGUUAAACAGUACGUGAAAUUGUCAAAAGGGAAGCGUUUGACACCAGUGUUGUUUUCUCGAAAAUCAAUUAAAAAAGGCCGGAUUUUGUGUUGUAUUGACUUUAUCAGCUUUCUGCACUCUUUUCUUGUCUUUUUUAAUGCACUUUUCGUUUAACAAGUCAACAUCAAUUUCUUUUGUUGUAAAAGGGUCAUUGGAAGGUGGCUUUCUUUUCGGAGAAAGUGUUUAUAGCCUUUGGCCUCUGCAAUCGGAGAGAUUGAGGUCUGCAGCGUAGAUCCUUCGGGGUUAGAUACAUUUGUGCUAAGUUAUAGCCUUUCAUAGACAACUUGUUGACUAUGAUCAGUCAUGUAGCUUACUCGCUUAUGCUAUUU